rnacentral:pre_miRNA from 1 species
AAAGAGUGUAGUUUUACACUAUUUAUCUCUAACGUUUGACCGUCCGUCUUAUUUAAAUUUUUUUUAUUAUUAGUAUUUUUGUUGUUAUUUUUUUAGACCGGUCUAUUUUUGUUGUUAUUAGAUGAUAAAAUAUAAAUAGUAUUUUAUGUGUGACUAUUUUUUAAAAUUUUUAAAAAUUUUUUAAAUAAAAUGGACGGUCAAACAUUGAACACGAAAACCCACAACUGCACUUAAA